rnacentral:lncRNA from 1 species
ACCUUCUGUCAGCAGGCUCUUGCCCACCCUGGGGCCUCCUUAUUAGCCAUCAUGUAGAAAGCAAAAAAGCUCUUCCAAGGAGCCAUCAGUCUCCUUGAUUACAGGGAAGGGAUAGUCCACUGGCGUUCACAGCUUUACAAUGGCAGAGAUCGUGAGAUCAAAGAGCAUGAACUGGAAGGGUCCUCACAGGUCACUGAGUACGAACCUGUCUUAGCCUUCAUUUCUUCAUCGAUAGUAUGAGGAUAAAAACAGCACCAAUCUCAGAGGGUUUUUAUAAGCAUCAACAAGCAAAAGACACGGUGCUAAGAAAGAAUUCUGAAAGGCAGACAGCAAGUACUCCAUUCUAAAAAUUUACCACUGAGCUAUGACUUUGGGAAUGAUUGUGUCCUCCUGUUCUGAGCAAUCAGGGGAUUUAAAGGGAAACUGAAGAUCUUCUGCAUGUGUAAGAAAUUGUGCUCCUUUUGUGUACAGGUGAAGAGAUUUUAAUACUGG